AGCGAACGCUGGCGGCGUACUUAACACAUGCAAGUCGAACGGGGAUCGUCGGGUUAGCAAUAAUUCGGCGGUCCUAGUGGCGUACGGGUGAGUAACACGUGGGCAACUUGCCCUUGAGACCGGGAUACCCUCUCGAAAGGGAGGCUAAUACUGGAUACGUUCUUCGGAUCGCAAGAUCUGGAGAGGAAAGGUGGCGCAAGCUACCGCUCUUGGAGAGGCUCGCGGCCUAUCAGCUAGUUGGUGAGGUAAUGGCUCACCAAGGCUAUGACGGGUAGCUGGUCUGAGAGGACGACCAGCCACACGGGAACUGAGACACGGUCCCGACUCCUACGGGAGGCAGCAGUGGGGAAUUUUCCGCAAUGGGCGAAAGCCUGACGGAGUGACGCCGCGUGGGGGACGAA
rnacentral:rRNA from 1 species